GAUCACAUUCACCUCAUAAUACACCUCUCUCAGUGUAACUCAGUGCUCUGUUUCUGCUCAUCACUCCAUGCCUGAGGUGUUGGAGUUUAAAGCUGCUGGGAUUCGAGUGAGUCGGUGAUGAUUUAUGUAACUUAUAUAACACUUUUUAACGCCGGAGAGGUUCUCCCACAUUCUGAUGGAACGUCUGACUCUGUCCGUCAGUCAGACUGAGUAAAAGCUCACUACGCUGCUGACAGGCUGAUGAAAGCUCCAGAGAAAAUACCCACCCCCCCCACCCCCCUCUUUACCUCCCUCACAAGACCACUUGAGCCUGAUGAAGAGAAUUAACAGACUGUGAACAGAUCACGUUUUGGGCCGAUUACUAACCUUGGUGAAAGACAAACCCGGCGGUACAGACAGGAAAGUGGGCCAGAUGCUGUGUUUGCAUGGGGCGUGGGCAGUGGAGGUUGCGUGGAGUGGAAUGAGUGUGAUUCCUGUUCGGCAGCAGAAGUAAGACGAGAGGAUUAUAGAGUGAAACGAAGGUUGGCAGUAGAAAUAACCAGGGAUUUACUGUAGAAUUCUGCUGAAGGAGUGCAUGAGUGUGAAUAAUCCCAGUAGCAGUCUGGAGCAAUAAGCAGAACUACAGAUGACAUGUGAGUGGGAUUGGAGUUAUACUUUAUAUAAACUCUCAGCUGUGAAACUUCUAAAUAAUAAAGGAAACCGUGAUAACAGUGA